ACUACGGGUGGCAGCAGUGGGGAAUAUUGCGCAAUGGGCGAAAGCCUGACGCAGCGACGCCGCGUGUGGGAUGAAGGUCUUCGGAUCGUAAACCUACGUCAGCAGGGAAGAACGGUCACUGUGCUAAUCAGCAGUGAAUUGACGGUACCUGCAAAGGAAGCACCGGCUAACUCCGUGCCAGCAGCCGCGGUAAUACGGAGGGUGCGAGCGUUAAUCGGAAUUACUGGGCGUAAAGCGCUCGUAGGCGGUAUGUCAAGUCAAGGGUGAAAUCCCCGCGCUCAACGUGGUAACUGCCUUUGAAACUGGAAAACAUGAGUGUGGGAGAGGACAGUGGAAUUCCAGGUGUAGGAGUGAAAGCCGU
rnacentral:rRNA from 1 species